rnacentral:rRNA from 1 species
GAUGAACGCUGGCGGCGUGCCUAAUACAUGCAAGUCGAGCGAAUGGAUUGAGAGCUUGCUCUUAUGAAGUUAGCGGCGGACGGGUGAGUAACACGUGGGUAACCUGCCCAUAAGACUGGGAUAACUCCGGGAAACCGGGGCUAAUACCGGAUAACAUUUUGAACCGCAUGGUUCGAAAUUGAAAGGCGGCUUCGGCUGUCACUUAUGGAUGGACCCGCGUCGCAUUAGCUAGUUGUGAGGUAACGGCUCACCAAGGCAACGAUGCGUAGCCGACCUGAGAGGGUGAUCGGCCACACUGGGACUGAGACACGGCCCAGACUGCUACGGGAGGGAGCAGUAGGGAAUCUUCCGCAAUGGACGAAAGUCUGACGGAGCAACGCCGCGUGAGUGAUGAAGGCUUUCGGGUCGUAAAACUCUGUUGUUAGGGAAGAACAAGUGCUAGUUGAAUAAGCUGGCACCUUGACGGUACCUAACCAGAAAGCCACGGCUAACUACGUGCCAGCCGCCGCAGUAA